AAAAAACGUGUACAAAACAAUUAUAUAUAUAUUAUAUAUAGCAUGAUUUUUAUGGAACUCUGUGAAACUAUCAACAAUUUGAUCACGAAAUAAAUUUGCCGGCGUUGUCGGCACUGAGAUAGAA